GCCACUGCAAAUUCAGUGGUCGAGAUUGGCGUCUCGGUACAAAGGCGGACACAACCGCCUCUUGGCGGUUUUUUU
rnacentral:sRNA from 1 species